rnacentral:rRNA from 1 species
UGGGGAAUUUUGGACAAUGGGCGCAAGCCUGAUCCAGCCAUGCCGCGUGCAGGAUGAAGGCCUUCGGGUUGUAAACUGCUUUUGUACGGAACGAAAAGGUGCCUUCUAAUAAAGGGCGCUCAUGACGGUAUCGUAAGAAUAAGCACCGGCUAACUACGUGCCAGCAGCCGCGGUAAUACGUAGGGUGCGAGCGUUAAUCGGAAUUACUGGGCGUAAAGCGUGCGUAGGCGGAUGCGCAAGUUGGGGGUGAAAUCCCGGGGCUUAACCUCGGAAUUGCCCUCAAAACUGCACGUCUUGAGACCGAGAGAGGUAAGGGGAAUUCCUAGUGUAGAGGUGAAAUUCGUAGAUAUUAGGAAGAACACCAGUGGCGAAGGCGCCUUACUGGCUCGGUACUGACGCUGAGGUACGAAAGCGUGGGGAGCAAACA